rnacentral:tRNA from 1 species
AGCUCGGUGGUGUAGUAGUUCAACGCUGUGGCGUCCCACAUAGGCCCAAGGGUGGGUUCGAAUCCCGCCUGAGCCA